UUCUAGGGUUCUUGGAGAAACCCUUAUGUCUGCAAACCAAGGUAAAUGAAAACUCAUGGAUUUAGCUUAAUUCUCCCAUUAAUGAUUAGGAAAACAUUGUUAUUCAUGCUCUAAUAUAACUACAAAGGCAGAAUAUUUCCAGCAGCUACUGCUCACUUCCUUAGUUGUUAAAAUAACUUUCUUUCUUCUUUGGUUCAAGUGUGAAGGGAAGCUGAAGUUCUAAAAGAAUUCAAGUUAUAAGGAGAAGUUGCAAAAAUUGAGAUUAACACCACAAAGGGGAGGCUGAAUCGUGAUAGUUUAUCAGUCCGAGGAUAAGGCACAUGUAUUCUAGCUAGUAGACCUCCUCAGUAGGAGCACACGAAACUCUGCUAUUUUUGGGUAAGCUCCAAGUUGAUAUGGAGCUUUAUUGAGUCUUUGGUAAAUCCAUUUUGGUAUUGUAUCGUAGUUAAGAAUCAAUGGUGUAACAUAUGAUAGUGUAGACCCCGGAUCAAUUAACGCAUAUACAAUAUGUGAAAUAUGGAAAAUAUACCCGUAACCACAUCCGGUGAGGCUUCUGAAUUUUGUCGAUCCCCUAGUGCAUAUGUGCGAUUCUAACCUCCACUAUAACUAGCUGCUCCCCUAGAUCCUCUACCACGACCUGUAGGCAUAUGUAGUCCACUACCUAAAGAAGGGGAUGAUGAGGUCGACAUAACAACUGAUCUAGUUGGUUGUGCAAUGCCACCCACUCCCCUAUGAGGGCAGUUUCUCAUCAUAUGCCCUGGUGUGUCACACCAAAAAUAAACAUCCAUCCCAAACCUGCAUGCACCUAGAUGAUUCCUUCCACAUUGUUUACAAGGCUGUUGUGGAGGCCUUGAUUGGCUCGUACUUCCCUGCUCUUGAUGACUUGCUAUUUGUGAGCCUUGUCUUUCAAUUCUUUGCCCAAACUGAUUGCCCCUAAACCCUUAGAACGAUGGUGGAGCACUAGCUGUAGAGUAGAAAGAUGAUGUCCUAGGUGGUCUAUUAGAGAACCGAGGCCUAAACUCACCUUGGGAUGGUGUAAACUGCCCCAUGGAUCUGGCCCUCUUAGAAUGCCCUGUUUCCGACUCUUGCGCCCUUCUUCUUUGCCUUUGAUCCUCCAACUUUUGCGCAAAAGUCUGCAUCCUUGCUAUAUCCAUAUCUUUAUUCAACGAAGAAAUUGUACAGUUUCUAACCAGAUAUAAAUCUAAUCUAUCCACAAAUUGAUGAACUCUAUCCUCUAUAGUAGCUACUACAUUAGGAGCAUACCUGGCCAAGGAAUUAAAUUUGAGACUAUACUCUCUCACACUCAUAUUUCCUUGGUGGAGAUUUAAGAACUGAUCUGCACGGGCUUCUAAGAUCUCCAAUGGCAGAUAAUGAUCAAGGAAUGCCCUUUUGAACUCUUUUCACAUAGCUGAAGGUGCAUUUGUUCCCCUAGAUUGCUUCCAAGCUUCAUACCACAAUAUAGCCACACCCUUUAAUCUGUAUGCAGCUAGCUCAAGUGCUUUUUUUAUCACUUACAUGCAUAAUAUCCAAAGUGAGUUUGAUUUGAUCAAUAAAGUCUUGCGGAUCUUUAUUAGGAUCUGACCCGGUAAAUGAUAGAGGGUCCAAGUUAAGAAAAUCACGUAUCCGUGUUCCAGCUGAUCCAUCUACACCACUAGUACCUGCAACUGGACCUUCUUGCCUUUGGCCAUGACCAGUAACUAUAGUAGUCAAUAAUUGGACUACAUUCCUCAAAUCUUGCUCGGUAGCAUUGAUAGGGGUUUCUAAGGUUCAUCUUCCCUCCUUAGUUCUGAAAGGAAGAUGGUUAACUCGUAGUGAUAUCCAUUAUUGUGCAGCAAGGUAUGUAAGACUAUUCGAUUUCCUAUUUCCUUGGCAUGAUUCCAACAAGAUGGUUAACUCGUAGUGAUAUCCAUUAUUGUGCAGCAAGGUAUGUAAGACUAUUCGAUUUCCUAUUUCCUUGGCAUGAUUCCAACACUUUUAAGCUUUCUAAGUGCUCUUGAUAGUGACUGAUCCAUAAAUGCAGUUCGUACUCCCUUGAGAAGUAAAGUGAGGACUCUACCAUGAGUUUGUUACUUAAUGUGCGUUUUUUCUCUACCAAGUGUUAGCAUGCAAGGUUUAAACUUGUCUCAUUGUCAAAGUACCCCUGACACGUAUUUCCCUUAUAUAUGUCAAAGUGAUCCUAGAUUACACAUGGUACAUAUGUUUAUAGGAUGGAUACACGAUCUGCCCAUAUCUUUCCAACUUGCUUCAAUAGUAUAUUCCAUCAUAUAUGUCAUCUUUUCACAUGUUCAUGUGUUCCCUUUAUUGAUUAUUACUCCCAUUGUUUAGACUAUUAUGUUGCCUUACAAAAUGUCUAAUUGCUCUAUUGUACAUUUAUAUGGAUGUACUUACUUGAAAUAUGUAUCCAUCCGUAAGUUGAAUUUGUCCACAUUCUUCCUUGGUUCCACAUUCAUAUAUACCUUGUCUUUGAUAUUAGUUGGUCAGUAUUUAGCUAUCAUAUAGAGUUCAAAUCUCUUGGAUGAAAGUUAUAUGUCUUCACUCCGUAUGUGCUUCAAUUUGAGAUGUCAAAAAUGUGUACUGAGUCAUAGAAGAAGUACUGUUGGUGUCACAUUUGCUUUCCACGUCAUUGCCAUUAUCGUUAGUCCAUAUUCGUAUGUCUUCUACUGCUAGUUCAUAGUUCCAAAUCUCAACAAUGAUUAUAACCACCAAAACAUCAAUCCCAAAUGAGUUACUAUCAACAAAAGAACAAUCUCAAAAGAGUUAUGAUUAUCUAAAGUACACAGUCUCAAAAGAGUUAUGAACAUCAAAGCAACAAUCUCAAAGAUUUAAACAUAGUUCUUCCCAUCCAUUUUCCCCUAAUCAUUUUUAUAAGGUCCUCCAAAACCCCUCGGCUUUACCACGUCUAGAAAACACUAUUAAAGAAAUGGCAGGAAGUAAGCUCAUGCAACACUCAAUUAAGUGGUUUAUCACUACACUUUCAAUGUUCUAUCCUCUAACCAGUUUUCAUGACUUCUCUACAUAUCCUGCCAGACCCUCUUAUUUAUAUGAUACACAAAACAGUCCCUAAGCUUCACAAUGUGGAAAUAGCUAUAUGAACUCAUGACUUCCGAUCAACAUCCUGUGAAUUCCAACUAACAUUUAGAUUCUCAAAACAAGCUCACAAUCAAAAUUUAAGGGGACUCCACUCCAUGUAUGUCCCAACAAGCACCUCCUUCCUGAACAUUCACCAAGCUCACACCAUACAGAGGCAACACUCAACAGUUCAUUAACACAUGCAAGCUUUUAUAAAUAAUGCAAGAACAAGAGAGGGAUGGAAAUUUCCAUAGCUUACCUUGCUAGAGAGAAACCUCACUUGUCAAGACUUGGAUUCUUCAAGGUUUAGGUUGUCCUCUCUAACUUACCUUGAUGUUAAAUCAGAUUAUUCACUUGAAUUCCUUAAGGUGGGAGAUGUUCUACCAGCUUGUACUUUAAAAAUACAUGUUUUCUUCAGAUUCUAAUGGUGAAGCUGUAGAACAGAACUCUUGGAGCUUCCAUGGCUUUCCUUGGGAGUAAUUUCGGGUGAAUAAGUUAUAUGAAAGAGAUAUGAUAAGCUUGAUGCUUUAGAGGCCAUUUUGGACGUUUUUUCUUUAAUAAAUUGGGAAAUAAUAUGGUCCUUUACUUUAAGCAAGAAGGUGCAUCACCUCCUUAGUUUCUGCCAUAUGUUUUUAAGUAGUUGCAUCAGCUACUUGCUCUUUUCACUUAAAUUCAGUCCACUUAUUCUAAGUAGGUGCACCACCUACUAGCUCCGUUAAAAUUCAGUCCACUAAUUCUAAGUAGGUGCAUUCACCUACUUGCUCCUUUUAACUUAAAAUUCAGUCCACUAAUUCUAAGUAGGUGCAUCACCUACUUGCCCCUUUUCACUUAAAAUGCAGUCCACUCAUUCUAAGUAGGUGCAUCACCUACUUGUCACAUACUAGCAUAGUUUAGUCAAGCAAGCACCUCAAUUAUUUUACACCAUGUUCCCCAUCCUAAAUUCUUUACAAGACCGUAACACUAAAUACACACUUGAUCACUUUGACUUUUAUAUCGAAUACCACCUUUAAUAUCCCGAGUUUGAGUUGUUUUUUAAGUAGCAGUAUACAAGGUGAUCGAAUCAAAUAUAGAUUGAUUAAAAAUGAAUAGAGUAAUCAAUUUGGUUCAUAUUUAAAUUGAAUAAAAACACUUAACCCACUCACCUCCCACCCCAUCCCACCACCACC